UCUAAUAUGGCAGAAUAGUGCAAUGGACUUAAACCCCAUACAUAAAGGUAACUUUUUUUAGAA
rnacentral:tRNA from 1 species